AUUGAACGCUGGCGGCAUGCUUUACACAUGCAAGUCGAACGGUAACAGGCCGCAAGGUGCUGACGAGUGGCGAACGGGUGAGUAAUGCAUCGGAACGUGCCCAGUCGUGGGGGAUAACGCAGCGAAAGCUGCGCUAAUACCGCAUACGAUCUAUGGAUGAAAGCGGGGGACCGUAAGGCCUCGCGCGAUUGGAGCGGCCGAUGUCAGAUUAGGUAGUUGGUGGGGUAAAGGCUCACCAAGCCAACGAUCUGUAGCUGGUCUGAGAGGACGACCAGCCACACUGGGACUGAGACACGGCCGAGACUCCUACGGGAGGAAGCAGUGGGGAAUUUUGGACAAUGGGCGCAAGCCUGAUCCAGCAAUGCCGCGUGCAGGAAGAAGGCCUUCGGGUUGUAAACUGCUUUUGUACGGAACGAAACGGCUCUGGUUAAUACCUGGGGCUAAUGACGGUACCGUAAGAAUAAGCACCGGCUAACUACGUGCCAGCCGCCGCAGUAAGAC
rnacentral:rRNA from 1 species